UCGUGGUCGGUCUCUAUCGAUCGUUCUCACCAACGUCGUCUCCUUCUCUCUCUCUCUCUCCUCACUUUUGAAGUUGCCAUCAUCUUUCUAUCCUCUGAGACCCCAAACCGUGGUUCUUAAGGUGGAAACGUGUAAGUCUUGGGUGGGAAGUCGAUUAGGUUUAGGAGGUGACAGGAACUCCUCCUUCUCACCCGAACACAGGAGUAUCUUUGGUUGUGGGAAGUGAUCAGGUGCGUGAGGGUUUCGAUCCAGGCCUUGUUUCUCUCUUUUUUGCCCUGGCUUUUAAACCCGCUGGUUCCUGGGAAUGGAUCUGUCGCUGGUGUUGCCUCGAUACAACUCAAAGAGCACUGCAACAGGCUGCAAGAUUCCGCCUGUGGGUCCAUAAAUCCAGGCUCCAGCCGCAGAUGUCACCUCGCGUGGGAUGCUGCAGUACUUGUCGCAGUGCUCAUGUCUUCCUCUUCUCUCGCUAUUUCAUCUCCUCGACUCAAAUCUUGGGGUGGGAUAGCAGCCUUCCUUGAAGUAUACAGCUUCCGGUGCGCUCUUCUCUCGGUUAAUUGCGUUCCAGUUUGUCGGAGCAGCAGCCGGCCGGUGCUUGCAGCUGCGGCAUCAUCAAGAUUCACACGAACGUCCGGGGAGCCCCGUCGUCGUCGUCGAUGAGAAUCUUGAUGAUGCUGCAUCAGCAAACAAGCGGCUAAAUAUAUAUGCCUCCAUCGCUAAGUCAUCAACAAACUAUCUUCUUGCUUUGAGAUGAAUGAUGUUAAGCUGCUCGAUUUGGUUGCCACAGUAAAUCAUAUAGAUCAAUGAACUCUUUUUUAAGUUGUGAUACAACAACUGCAUUCAGAAGAAGGAUCAAGGAGAUCCUUGGCUACAUGGUAAGAUUUAUUUUCUGAAACCUGGAGAAAACAAAAAGAGCAACUCAUUCACAUUAAUGCACACUAACAUGUAAAGUAUGUGCAAGGAUCAUUUGCUAAUUAAUGCAGGUUUGAUCAUUGUUCUUAGAGAGCUUACCAUCUAAAUAACUAUGUGGCAGGAAAUGUCCUGGGAUGGAAAGGAUCUAAAAAGGAAAAAAAAAAUCUUAUGUUAGCAAUAACUCUCCUUCAUCAGUCACUCAUUUAGGUGGACCAAACAGAAGGUACAUGUUGCUGCUAGUUGUUUCUAAGUGGACCUAUCUUUUAGGACAACAUGCACAGAACUGUCCGGCAAUUUGAUUUGAGCUCCUUUCUCCAUCUAAGCACAUAUACCAACAUAUACAUCUAAGGGCUAAACGGAUGUGAUUUAGUCAAAGUAUAUUGGUUGUACUAUUGUAUGAACUGGAGCCUCUAAGGUGUGUUGUUUUCUCUCCAAUCAGAGGGUUGCCAUAAUCCAAAAGAAAGGGUUUCUUUCAUUCAAGUCGACUGCAGGGAAACACUGCAACUGUGAUGGCAUCAAUGAUACUUUUCAUGCAAGGUAUCGGGUGCUUUAUAGCCAGAGACCUCUAUGAGAAAAUGUUAUGCUGAGCAGUGACAGCCACUGUGCUUCCUUCUUUCGUUUGUACGUUCUUUCCAAUAUUUCUUCUUGUCA